rnacentral:rRNA from 1 species
CCUACGGGUGGCAGCAGUGGGGAAUAUUGCAAAAUGGGGGGAACCCUGAUGCAGCAAUGCCGCGUGGGUGAAGAAGCACUACGGUGGGGAAAGACCUGUCAGCAGGGAAGAAAAGGACAGUACCUGACCAAGAAGCCACGGCUAACUACGUGCCAGCAGCCGCGGUAAUACGGAGGGGGCAAGCGUUAUCCGGAUUUACUGGGGGUACAGGGAGCGCAGGCGGUAUGGCAAGUCAGAUGUGAAAACCCAGGGCCCACCCCUGGGACUGCAUUUGAAACUGCCAUACUGGAGUGCCGGAGAGCUCAGUGGCAUUCCUUGUGUAGCGGUGCAAUUCGUCGCUCUUAGGAG